GUAAUUUUUGACGUUCUUCUUCCUCAUAAAAUUCAAAUGGCUGUACAUGGAGAUUUUCCACAUCACCUAAGACAUUGCUCAGAGACCUCGGUUGUAUGCUAUUACUAUUAUGCUUCAUGCUGUUCUUAACACGUUGAUAGUGUUCUCGACUGACCUUAAUAUAAGACAUGUAUUUGGCACCAUCGCUGUGUUGAAUAUUCCGCUUGUUUAGUUUUUCUCCUUUCCUGGAUCUUGCAGCCAUCUUAGCUCCAUCGGGCGAACUGCCAUAUGUGCCUUCCGUCAAGCCCUUUCUCAAUAUUCUCUCCACCAUUUCCUCCUCCGAGUCUUUACAGCUCUCCAAACUUUCCUUCCAUAACUGCAACUUUCCAAUCAUAUUGUCAUGGUAAUUUUGUAAUUCCAUGUAAUAUGCCUUCUUGUUAGCCUUGAAAUGUUGUUCCUGGCGCAUAACAUUAUCAGGGUGAAAGCUACCAGAACAAAUCAUCUGACCCCACUUAAGAAAUUGAUUUCCGAAGUGAAAAUUUUCCUCCCCCAGUAAUUUAUACACAAUAUCAUCU
rnacentral:misc_RNA from 1 species